rnacentral:rRNA from 1 species
UACGAAGGGAGCUAGCGUUGUUCGGAAUCACUGGGCGUAAAGCGCACGUAGGCGGAUGUGUCAGUCAGGGGUGAAAUCCCGGAGCUCAACUUCGGAACUGCCUUUGAUACAGCACGUCUUGAGUCCGAUAGAGGUGGGUGGAAUUCCUAGUGUAGAGGUGAAAUUCGUAGAUAUUGGGAAGAACACCGGUGGCGAAGGCGGCUCACUGGCUCAUUUCUGACGCUCAGGCGCGACAGCGUGGGGAUCAAACAGG